GCGGAGGCAGCAGUAAGGAAUAUUGGACAAUGGGCGCAAGCCUGAUCCAGCCAUGCCGCGUGGGUGAAGAAGGCCUUCGGGUUGUAAAGCCCUUUUGUCCGGAAAGAAAAGCUUCGGGCUAAUACCCCGGGGUUCUGACGGUACCGGAAGAAUAAGCACCGGCUAACUUCGUGCCAGCAGCCGCGGUAAUACGAAGGGUGCAAGCGUUACUCGGAAUUACUGGGCGUAAAGCGUGCGUAGGUGGUUUGUUAAGUCUGAUGUGAAAGCCCUGGGCUCAACCUGGGAAUUGCAUUGGAUACUGGCAGGCUAGAGUGCGGUAGAGGAUGGCGGAAUUCCCGGUGUAGCAGUGAAAUGCGUAGAGAUCGGGAGGAACAUCUGUGGCGAAGGCGGCCAUCUGGACCAGCACUGACACUGAGGCACGAAAGCGUGGGGAGCAAACAGGAUUAGAUACCCCGGUAGU
rnacentral:rRNA from 1 species